rnacentral:lncRNA from 1 species
GCUGCGCGGGCUUGUCCGCGUGCCUCUGCUGCUGGGCGCGCGGCGAGGGCGCACCGACGACGGCCCUCGGGGAUCCGAGGCUGACCGCUCUGAGCACGUCGAGGUCGUACGCGGCGGGCUUGGCUGCCUGGUGGUGGUGGUCGGGGGCGUAGAAGAGGUCGUCGGUGCCGACCAUGUCGAGCAGGUCGACGGAGUCGUCGGGGAGGAGCGCGGCGACGUCGACGUCGGCGUCGUCGGGGAGCGAGAGGAGGGCGGCGUCGUAGGCUGCCUCGUGGAGCUGGUGCUGUCGGAACCAGUGGUCCCGGAACCAGGCGGUGGUCUUGACGAGCUCCCACCACUCGGGCGAGAAGUCCUCCACCUGGCGGUACGCCGCCGGGAUGAAGAGCGGCGCGUUCGGGUUCAGCGACGACGACGCCAUGGCCAUGGUGCUCAUCCUCGGUUCUCCUUUCUACUACCUGGAACAAGCACGGCAAGAAAAGCAGUCAGCUUUAGCCUCAGCUUCAGCGCAGAGCUCGUGCUCGUGCUCGAGCUACAGCAGCAUCCCCGAUCCGAUCGUCCGAGCUCAGAUCCGGAAGGGGAAAUCGUUAACGUCACAGAUCUGAGAAAGCUUUUCUGGUGGUGUUCGUGCUCACCUUU